rnacentral:rRNA from 1 species
GACGAACGCUGGCGGCGUGCUUAACACAUGCAAGUCGAACGAUGAACCCGGAGCUCGCUCCGGUGGAUUAGUGGCGAACGGGUGAGUAACACGUGAGUAACCUGCCCUUGACUCUGGGAUAACCGCGGGAAACUGUAGCUAAUACCGGAUACGACACCUUGGAGCAUCCCAGGGGGUGGAAAGAAUUUCGGUCAAGGAUGAGCUCGCGGCCUAUCAGCUAGUUGGUGAGGUAAUGGCUCACCAAGGCGACGACGGGUAGCCGGCCUGAGAGGGUGACCGGCCACACUGGAACUGAGACACGGUCCAGACUCCUACGGGAGGCAGCAGUGGGGAAUAUUGCACAAUGGGCGAAAGCCUGAUGCAGCAACGCCGCGUGAGGGAUGAAGGACUUCGGGUUGUAAACCUCUUUUAGCAGGGAAGAAGCGAAAGUGACGGUACCUGCAGAAAAAGCACCGGCUAACUACGUGCCAGCAGCCGCUAACA